rnacentral:rRNA from 1 species
UACGUACGAGGCGAGCGUUAUCCGGAAUUACUGGGCGUAAAGAGUGCGUAGGCGGUUUCGUAAGUUUGGUGUGAAAUCUCCCGGCUUAACUGGGAGGGUGCGCCGAAAACUGCGGGGCUGGAGUAGGGGAGAGGUAAGCGGAAUUCCUGGUGUAGCGGUGAAAUGCGUAGAUAUCAGGAGGAACACCGGCGGUGUAGACGG